rnacentral:rRNA from 1 species
CAGCAGCCGCGGUAAAACGAAGGGUGCAAGCGUUAAUCGGAAUUACUGGGCGUAAAGCGUGCGUAGGCGGCUUCUUAAGUCGGAUGUGAAAUCCCUGAGCUUAACUUAGGAAUUGCAUUCGAUACUGGGAAGCUAGAGUAUGGGAGAGGAUGGUAGAAUUCCAGGUGUAGCGGUGAAAUGCGUAGAGAUCUGGAGGAAUACCGAUGGCGAAGGCAGCCAUCUGGCCUAAUACUGACGCUGAGGUACGAAAGCAUGGGGAGCAAACAGGAUUAGAUACCCCCGUAGUCCCUGUCUCUUAUAC